rnacentral:lncRNA from 1 species
UUUGCUGCAGCUGCCUCUAACGCCUCCAGAUGGCGCGCUGGUGCUCGUUCUCGGCUCUCAGCGACCGGCCAAUUGCCAGCUGCUGGGGAGAAUGAGCUUGGAGCCGCAGGGCUUAAUCCCGCGCGGCUCAGAGAUGGGUUUCUGGACUCGCGAAGCAGCUGCAACAAGGCAUCACUCACUGUACAAGUAUUUCCAUUUCUGAGAGCAAAAGGAAGAACUUAAGCGGGCGGCACUUGGAGUGUAAAUUGCUUUGUAGUAUUUAAAGGCAGAAUGGAUCCUGGGCAGCCGAGCUGGUUUUUAUCCACAACAUGGCAAUAAGAAAUGCUGGUGAGGAUGUGCAGAAACGGGAACCCUCAUACACUAUUGAUGAGAAGCUUUGGAUGUUUAAAAGUCUGCAGCACCUCCCACCUUGCCCUCUUCCUCAUUCUCCGGCCAUGAGAGAUGUUCUUGCUUCCCUUUCACCUUCUGCCAUAAUUGUACAUUUCCUGAGGCCUCCGCAGACAUGCUUCCUGUACAGCCUGCAAAACUGGUCUGACUCCUUCCUGGGCUCGAGUGCUGUGGCUUGUUCAUAG